UGUUUGAAGGAGAAGAAAAUCAAAUUAGGGUUUCCAAAGGGUUUAUACAAAUACUCCUCGAUUCUCCUAAUCUCAUAUCCAACUUUCCUGUCGCCUCUUCCUUGAAAAAUAAUCAAGAUGUUUUAACUUGUGAGGAACAAAUCUGUGCUAGAUGUUGGAUCUUAUUGAUCUUUCGGUGAUGGCUACACAACCUCUAAGAAGUUCUGAGCAAUUAUUGAUUUUCAAUUAUCAUAGGGUUUUCAGCUAAAGUCUUAUUUUUAUCGUUUUGGUUUAGAAUUAUAAUUCGUAGAGAAAAGGAAUGUUAUUUUCUAUGAUUAGAUUGAUUGAUACGAAUGUGAGAUGACGAUAAAAUUCAUGGUCUGUCAAUCCACUGAAUUCUGUGAUGUUACUCUUGAAUCUCGACAGGUUCUGAUCGCUUCAUUACACAAUCAAUCAUUCAAAUAUAAAGUUAUUUAAUGGUUUUAA